ACGGGAGGCAGCAGUGGGGAAUAUUGCACAAUGGAGGAAACUCUGAUGCAGCAACGCCGCGUGACUGAAGAAGUAUUUCGGUAUGUAAAGGUCUAUCAGCAAGGAAGAAAAAAGACGGUACUUGACUAAGAAGCCCCGGCUAACUACGUGCCAGCAGCCGCGGUAAUACGUAGGGGGCAAGCGUUAUCCGGAUUUACUGGGUGUAAAGGGAGUGUAGGUGGCAAUACAAGUCAGAAGUGAAAGCCCGGGGCUCAACCCCGGGACUGCUUUUGAAACUGUAUAGCUAGAGUACAGGAGAGGCAAGUGGAAUUCCUAGUGUAGCGGUGAAAUGCGUAGAUAUUAGGAGGAACACCAGUGGCGAAGGCGGCUUGCUGGACUGUAACUGACACUGAGGCUCGAAAGCGUGGGGAGCAAACAGGAUUAGAUACCCUGGUA
rnacentral:rRNA from 1 species